UGCCCUGUCGUCUAAUGGUAGGACACGUGACUCUGGAUCACGUUAUCCUGGUUCGAGUCCAGGCGGGGCAGCCA
rnacentral:tRNA from 1 species